UCACGUCUUACGACGGCAGUUUCACUAGAGUUCCCAGCGUUACCUGAUGGCAACUAGUGAUGGGGGUUGCGCUCGUUGCGGGACUUAACCCAACACCUCACGGCACGAGCUGACGACAGCCGUGCAGCACCUGUGCAGGCUCCCUUGCGGGUCCCUUGCCUCUCGGCUCAGUACCACCUGCAUGUCAAGCCCGGGUAAGGUUCUUCGCGUUGCAUCGAAUUAAACCACAUGCUCCGCUGCUUGUGCGGGUCCCCGUCAAUUCCUUUGAGUUUUAGCCUUGCGGCCGUACUCCCCAGGCGGGGUACUUCCUGCGUUAGCGCCGGCACCCAAGGGGUCGCUCCCCCAGGCACCUAGUACCCAUCGUUUACGGCGUGGACUAC
rnacentral:misc_RNA from 1 species